UCCCUGGUGGCUCAGAUGGUAAAGCGUCUGCCUGCAAUGCAGGAGACCUGGGUUUGAUCCCUUGAUUGGGAA
rnacentral:tRNA from 1 species